GCCUUUUGUUCUUUAAAGGUAUGUUCUGCUCAGUGAUUUUAAACAGCCGCGGUAAUUUGACCGUGCAAAGGUAGCAUAAUCAUUUGCCUUAUAAUUGGGGGCUGGAAUGAAAGAAUAAACAAGAGUUAAGCUUUAUCUUUUGGAGAAUCAGAAAUUUCUUUCUUAGUGAAGAAGCUAAGAUAAAAAAGGGGACAAGAAGACCCUUUUGAGCUUUAUUAUUUUUCUUUUUAUGAAAAAUUAAUUUGGUUGGGGCGACCGGGGAAUAUCUUCCCUAUUUAUUAUGAUCCACGGUUUGUGAUUAAAAGAAUAAGUUACCAAAGGGAUAACAGCGUAAUUUUUUUUGAGAGUUCUUAUUAAAAAAAAAGAUUGCGACCUCGAUGUUGACUUAUAUUUUCCUUUCGGUGUAGCAGCUGAAAUGGUGGGUCUGUUCGACCUUUAAAAUUUU
rnacentral:rRNA from 1 species